GGGACUGCAGUAGGGCCUGGGAGAGUGGCCCUCCGACGUGGUGCAGCUCUUUUUACCAGCAAAGGGAAGUGUAAGCGUUUCUCUUCUGUUGCAGUUUGCUGCAGGGCCGGGCUCGUACGAUCCAAAGGCCAUUGAGAGGUCAGAAUACUUCAACCAACCCCCAUUUUGGUCGUCUGCCAAGAGAUUUGAUAGAAAGUCCUGCCGCCUCUUUGCUGGGAAUGAGAAUCCUGUAGGUGCUGGUCGCUACAACAUCACCAGACACGAGAAAUAUCCUUGCAAGAUCAGGUACCAGUCCCUGUACCAGUGUGAAACACGGCGGUACCUGAGUAACCUGGAGCGGGAUGCCUACUUGCUUGAGCGGCUCAAGCCUUCUAUCAAAAACAACUGGAAUGAUUUGAUUGCUGCUCCGCAUUGCCCAGAUACCUCUGAAGCAAUCACUGCUGUUUUCUGAACUUAAGAUGGUGCUGGAAAGCAGUGAAAACCAUGAAUAAGGAAAACUGCAAAUAAGUUGUGAACACACCAGUGGAUGAGUCUGCAUAGAUGAAAAUACUUACAACAUGGAAUAAAAUUCAA